rnacentral:rRNA from 1 species
AUUGAACGCUGGCGGCAGGCUUAACACAUGCAAGUCGAGCGGGCGAGGUUGCUUCGGUAACUGAGCUAGCGGCGGACGGGUGAGUAAAGCUUAGGAAUCUGCCUAUUAGUGGGGGACAACAUUCCGAAAGGGAUGCUAAUACCGCAUACGUCCUACGGGAGAAAGCAGGGGAUCACUUGUGACCUUGCGCUAAUAGAUGAGCCUAAGUCGGAUUAGCUAGUUGGUGGGGUAAAGGCCUACCAAGGCGACGAUCUGUAGCGGGUCUGAGAGGAUGAUCCGCCACACUGGGACUGAGACACGGCCCAGACUCCUACGGGAGGCAGCAGUGGGGAAUAUUGGACAAUGGGGGGAACCCUGAUCCAGCCAUGCCGCGUGUGUGAAGAAGGCCUUUUGGUUGUAAAGCACUUUAAGCGAGGAGGAGGCUUACCUGGUUAAUACCUGGGCUAAGUGGACGUUACUCGCAGAAUAAGCACCGGCUAACUCUGUGCCAGCAGCCGCGGUAAAAC